CUUCAUUAUGAAUUGUGUUUUGACUUUGCAUUUAUAGUUUCUCUCUAGCAAGUUUAAUCAUUAGAUGUGCUGUAAUAACUGAUUUAUUUAACUUCUGACUCAUAUAUUUUUGAUUUGAGCGUCACUGAUGAGUCUUAUGUAGACGAAACGCGCGUCUGACGUAUAAAAGUAAAGCUUUGAAUAUUAUAAUUUUCCGUGUCAUAAGGGUUGUAAAUAUUUGUUGAAACGUUGUACAAAUUCUGACAACUUGUAGCAACAUGUAGGAAGACAAAGAUUCUUUACUGAAACAUUUCAUUAAAAAUUUAAACAAAACAGGAUAAAGAAGCAUAUUUGCAAAUUAUUAGAAAAUUCCAUCUUUUUUUUCAAUUCAUACCCUUACUUCCAAUCGACAAAGUGCAUUCAAGCAAUUCUCAAUUAACACAAGUACUUCAAACAAAUUUGUAAAUAUUCAUGAAAGCUUGUUCAAAAAGAUCUGAUUUUUUAUAUUUUAAAUUAUUGUUUAAGAGGAUUUUUAUUAUAUUUUGUAAUAUCGCUUUAUAGGCCGCUGAUGUAUAUUUGUUAAUUAUUGUGAUAU
rnacentral:lncRNA from 1 species